AUUGAACGCUGGCGGCAUGCCUUACACAUGCAAGUCGAACGGUAACAGGUCUUCGGAUGCUGACGAGUGGCGAACGGGUGAGUAAUACAUCGGAACGUGCCCGAUCGUGGGGGAUAACGAAGCGAAAGCUUUGCUAAUACCGCAUACGAUCUACGGAUGAAAGCAGGGGACCGCAAGGCCUUGCGCGAACGGAGCGGCCGAUGGCAGAUUAGGUAGGUGGUGGGAUAAAAGCUUACCAAGCCGACGAUCUGUAGCUGGUCUGAGAGGACGACCAGCCACACUAGGACUGAGACACGGCCGAGACUCGUACGGGAGGCAGCAGUGGGGAAUUUUGGACAAUGGGCGAAAGCCUGAUCCAGCCAUGCCGCGUGCAGGAUGAAGGCCUUCGGGUUGUAAACUGCUUUUGUACGGAACGAAAAGACUCUGGUUAAUACCUGGGGUCCAUGACGGUACCGUAAGAAUAAGCACCGGCUAACUACGUGCCAGCCGCCGCCGUAACAC
rnacentral:rRNA from 1 species